rnacentral:tmRNA from 1 species
AGGCUUUAUUUUGCCGUGAUGGCACCCUAUAUUGAAGGUGCUGGUGCUUGCAUCAGAUAUGGCGAUAAAUGGCGAUCGUAAUAAACCAUUCGGACCCGGGGGCAGUACCCGGCACCUCCACCAAAUGCUGCUUUUGUCGGCAUCAGGUGGUCAGUUAACCCCGUAAGGCAUCAUUUGCUGGGGGUGAACCAGGAUCGACGAGGGUGUAAAGGGUUUGCUUUUGCUCGGCAUUGUACCGCCGUUAUCGGGCUAUUUUAGUAGUUGCAAACGACAACUAUGCGGAAGCACGUCUGGCUGCGUAACGCAGUCUGAUCGCUUCGAUCUAAGCCCUAGGCCCUCGCAGGUCUAGGCGGGGUUCGGGGGCACCUGGCAACAGAAGCCCCCACU